rnacentral:tRNA from 1 species
GGGGCUAUAGUGUAGCUUGGCUUAUCACUCCAGCUCGGGGAGCUGGCAACCCGUGUUCAAAUCACGGUAGCCCCA